AGCAGCGUGGCUCGGUGGAAAGAGCCUGGACUCCGGAGUCAGAGAUCAUGGGUUCGACUCCCAGCUCUGCCA
rnacentral:tRNA from 1 species